rnacentral:rRNA from 1 species
GAUGAACGCUAGCGACAGGCUUAACACAUGCAAGUCGAGGGGCAGCACAGGUAGCAAUACCGGGUGGCGACCGGCGCACGGGUGAGUAACGCGUAUGCAACUUGCCUAUCAGAGGGGGAUAAACCCGGCGAAAGUCGGACUAAUACCGCAUGAAGCAGGGAUCCCGCAUGGGGAAUAUUUGCUUAAAGAUUUCAUCGCUGAUAGAUAGGCAUGCGUUCCAUUAGGCAGUUGGCGGGGUAACGCCCACG